rnacentral:rRNA from 1 species
GCAGGACUCCCCGCCGGAUUCGCCGGCGCCGCCCGAGGAGGACCCUGCCACAGCGGUCCCCCACACAGCCGCCGAGGACUAUGACGGCAGCGCCGGCGCCGGUGGUUCGCGCGCCCCGCCGCCGCGGCCGCGGCCUUCGGCGCUAGCCGCGCCCUCGACCUCCGUAGCCCCGGCGGCGGCGAAGGCCAAGGUUCGGCCCCAUAAGGAGCAGGAUGACGACGACGACGAGGAAGACCCCAUGGAGGUCGACCUCGACAAGCUGCCCUCCGGCACCAGCGAUCCCGACAAGCUCGCCAAGAUGAAUGCUUUGUUAUCCCAAUUUACAGAAGACCAGAUGAACCGGUAUGAGUCCUUUCGUAGAUCUGGAUUCCAGAAAUCUAACAUGAAAAAGCUAUUGGCGAGUAUCACUGGCAGUCAAAAGAUAUCUAUGCCAACGACCAUCGUAGUAUCAGGAAUAGCAAAGAUGUUUGUCGGCGAGGUCAUUGAAACAGCAAGAAUAGUUAUGAGUGAAAGGAAAGAUUCUGGACCCAUCAGGCCUUGCCACAUCAGAGAAGCAUACAGAAGAUUGAAGCUUGAAGGGAAGAUCCCAAAGCGAUCCGUUCCUAGACUCUUUCGCUAG